AACGAACGCUGGCGGCAGGCUUAACACAUGCAAGUCGAGCGCGCCCUUCGGGGUGAGCGGCGGACGGGUUAGUAACGCGUGGGAACGUGCCCAGAUCUAAGGAAUAGCCACUGGAAACGGUGAGUAAUACCUUAUACGCCCUUCGGGGAAAGAUUUAUCGGAUUUGGAUCGGCCCGCGUUAGAUUAGAUAGUUGGUGGGGUAAUGGCCUACCAAGUCUACGAUCUAUAGCUGGUUUUAGAGGAUGAUCAGCAACACUGGGACUGAGACACGGCCCAGACUCCUACGGGAGGCAGCAGUGGGGAAUCUUGGACAAUGGGCGCAAGCCUGAUCCAGCCAUGCCGCGUGAGUGAUGAAGGCCUUUAGGGCGUAAGCUCUUUCGCCACGAGAUGAUAAUGACAGUAUCU
rnacentral:rRNA from 1 species